rnacentral:rRNA from 1 species
GUGGGGAAUAUUCCGCAAUGGGCGCAAGCCUGACGGAGCAACGCCGCGUGAAUGAAGACGGUCUUCGGAUUGUAAAGUUCUGUCAUUAGGGACGAAGGACUCAUGUAAAUAAUAUGAGGAAUGACGGUACCUAAGGAGGAAGCUCCGGCUAACUACGUGCCAGCAGCCGCGGUAAUACUAGGGAGCAAGCGUUGUCCGGAAUUACUGGGCGGAAAGGGCGCGUAGGCGGAUAAUUAAGUCAGAUGUGAAAGCUCCAAGCUUAACUUGGAGCGUGCAUUUGAAACUGGUUAUCUUGAGGGCAGGAGAGGAAAGUGGAAUUCCUAGUGUAGCGGUGAAAUGCGUAGAUAUUAGGAGGAACACCAGUGGCGAAGGCGACUUUCUGGACUGAACCUGACGCUGAGGCGCGAAAGCAUGGGGAGCGAACGGGAUUAGAUACCCCAGUAGUCC